UGGCGAGCUCGGUUUCUGGUUGAAAAUGGAGUUGUAAUCUGUUAACAUUAAUCCAAAAGAACCUUUACUUAAGAUCAGUUAAAAUCCUAAGAAAACAGUCGGCUUAGUCCGAAGCCUUUAUUGGUGAUAACCAGAAACCUGAAUGGCACCUAGAAGGCAGAAGGAGCCAAUACAACCCAUGAAAUACUCAUAUGAAUGUGAUUCCCUGAAGUGCACCUAUAAGUAUUUGAACUGCUGCAUUCUGAAUCAAUUGGCCUUACAGUUGGACAUUAGAAGUCAGACCAAGUAAUGUAAAAUAUUAUUUUUAAGCUCUCUCUAAAAUUAUAUUAUUUUUUGAA